rnacentral:rRNA from 1 species
GACGAACGCUGGCGGCGUGCUUAACACAUGCAAGUCGAACGGAAAGGCCCUGCUUUUGUGGGGUGCUCGAGUGGCGAACGGGUGAGUAACACGUGAGUAACCUGCCCUUGACUUUGGGAUAACUUCAGGAAACUGGGGCUAAUACCGGAUAGGAGCUCCUGCUGCAUGGAGGGGGUUGGAAAGUUUCGGCGGUUGGGGAUGGACUCGCGGCUUAUCAGCUUGUUGGUGGGGUAGUGGCUUACCAAGGCUUUGACGGGUAGCCGGCCUGAGAGGGUGACCGGCCACAUUGGGACUGAGAUACGGCCCAGACUCCUACGGGAGGCAGCAGUGGGGAAUAUUGCACAAUGGGCGGAAGCCUGAUGCAGCAACGCCGCGUGCGGGAUGACGGCCUUCGGGCUGUAAACCGCUUUCGCCUGUGACGAAGCGUGAGUGACGGUAAUGGGUAAAGAAGCACCGGCUAACUACGUG